rnacentral:rRNA from 1 species
AAUCCGCAUAACGUCGCAAAGACCAAAGAGGGGGGACCUUCGGGCCUCUUGCCAUCGGAUGUGCCCAGAUGGGAUUAGCUAGUAGGUGGGGUAACGGCUCACCUAGGCGACGAUCCCUAGCUGGUCUGAGAGGAUGACCAACCACACUGGAAAACUGAGACACGGUCCAGUACCUACGGGAGGCAGCAGUGGGAAACAUUGCACAAAUCGGGCGCAAGCCAAUGAAUGCAACCAUGCCCCGGUGAUGAAGAAGGCCUUCGGGUUGUAAAGUACUUUCAGCGGGAAGGAAGGGAGUAAAGUCAAUACCUUUGUGCUCAUUGACGUUACCCGCAGAAGAAGCACCGGCCAACUCCGUGCCAGCAGCCGCGGUAAUACGGAGGGGUGCAAGCGUUAAUCGGAAAUUACUGGGGCGUAAAGCGCACGCAGGCGGUUUGUUAAGUCAGAUGUGAGAAUCACGGGCUCAACCUGGGAACUGCAUCUGAUACUGGCAAGCUUGAGUCUCGUAGAGGGGGGUAGAAUUCCAAGGUGUAGCGGUGAAAUGCGUAGAGAUCUGGAGGAAUACCGGUGGCGAAGGCGGCCCCCUGGACGGAAGUCUGACGCUCAGGUGCGAAAGCGUGGGGAGCAAACAGGAUUAGAUACCCUGGUAGUCCACGCCGUAAACGAUGUCGACUUGGAGGUUGUGCCCUUGAGGCGUGGCUUCCGGAGCUAACGCGUUAAGUCGACCGCCUGGGGAGUACGGCCGCAAGGUUAAAACUCAAAUGAAUUGACGGGGGCCCGCACAAGCGGUGGGAGCAUGUGGUUUAUUCGAUGGCAACGCGAAGAACCUUACCCUGGUCUUGACAUCCACAGGAAGUUUUCAGAGAUGGAGAUAUGUGCCUUCCGGAACCGUGAGACAGGUGCUGGCAUGGCUGUCGUCAGCUCGUGUUGUGAAAUGGUGGGAAUAAGUCCGGCGCAACGAGCGCAACCCAUAUCAUUUGUGGCCAGCCGAUCCGGCCGGGAACUCAAAGGAGACUCCAGUGAUAAACUGGAGGAAGGUGGGGAUGACGUCAAGUCAUCAUGGCCCUUACGACCAGGGCUAACACACGUG